AACGAACGCUGGCGGCGUGUUUAAGACAUGCAAGUCGCACGGUGUCAUUUUGGUAGCAAUACUUGAAUGGCAUAGUGGCGCACGGGUGAGUAACACGUGAAUUACAUGCCCUGUAGAGGGGGAUAGCCCAGGGAAACUUGGAUUAAUACCCCAUGGUCUCGCAAGAGUAAAGGUGGCCGCAAGGCUGUCGCUACAGGAUUGGUUCGCGCCCUAUCAGCUUGUUGGCGGGGUAACGGCCCACCAAGGCUACGACGGGUACCUGGUCUGAGAGGACGAUCAGGCACACUGGAACUGAGACACGGUCCAGACACCUACGGGUGGCAGCAGUCGAGAAUAAUUCACAAUGGGGGCAACCCUGAUGGUGCAACGCCGCGUGGAGGAUGACGGUCUUCGGAUUGUAAACUCCUGUCAUCCGGGAGUAAGACCUGGGCAUGAAUAGUGCACAGGGUUGAUAGUACCGGAAGAGGAAGCACCGGCAAACUCUGUGCCAGCAGCCGCGG
rnacentral:rRNA from 1 species